CACGUAGGGUGCGAGCGUUUGUCCGGAAUUAUUGGGCGUAAAGAGCUCGUAGGCGGUGUGUCGCGUCGGCCGUGAAAACCUGCAGCUCAACUGCAGGCUUGCGGUCGAUACGGGCAGGCUUGAGGACGGUUGGGGUGAGUGGAACUCCUGGUGGAGCGGUGAAAUGCGUAGAUAUCAGGAGGAACACCGGUGGCGAAAGCGGCUCACUGGACCGUUACUGACGCUGAGGUGCGAAAGCUAGGGGAGCAAACGGG
rnacentral:rRNA from 1 species